AUGGCCAUCACCCCGCUUCUUCGAGACCAGUCGUCAUUGAUCUGCUUCCAUGCCGCCUCCCGCCAGCGACUGCAACCACCAGGAUCCGCCUCGAUGUCGUCCAAGCUCUGGAUCAGGCUGACCUCACCCUGCUCUGUUGCCUCCCCGUCAUCUUCCUCGAGCAGGAGCUCAUGCCCGAGCUCCUCCGCCACCAGCAGCUCUGCGGCGCCGCCUCCCUGCCGGCCCCGACCUUGCUUCGCUGCUCCGGCGAGUCCCCGACGAGCAGACAGGCAACAGGCGACGUCGUGGGCGCCAAUCGCCAAGGCCAGCGCCCAGCCUCUGCUUCGCCUCGACCAUGACCAGGAGACCACCGUGGCCGCCGUUUUUCCUCGUCGCCGCCCUUCGGAUCCCCGCCGGAUCACCCUUCCUCCACGAGCCCUUUCUUGCCGGAGUCCUUCGCCGCUGCGACUCCCUUGA
rnacentral:rRNA from 1 species